AUCUCCAGGGCGCGUUCCUCCUCCCAUUAGCGCCCUCGAGUGUUCCCCUCUGGAGGUUAGCCUUAAUCGGCACUUCCAAACAAACUCAGCCGGAUCUUCUUGGAUCCGGCUUUUUU
rnacentral:sRNA from 4 species